GUUCUUUCUAAAUGGGAAACCCACUUGCUUUGUCUCCACCUGUUAUGCCUGAAGCUUCUGGAAGACAAGAUCAAUCCAGCUAUGGACCUUGCUGCCCAACAGCUAGCACAACCCUGAAUGUUGUCACUGGCAGGAGGUAUCUGGUGAAUGAGGAGUCAGCAUGGUUCUGCUGUAGCCCUAGCUCCAGAUGCUGGGAAAUGCUGUGUCCCUUCCAGGAACUAUGGGUGUGGCAAAGCACAGUGGCACUCUAUCUGAUUCACCUUUUCCUACUUCUGAUGUGGACUUCAGCUGAAGUGAGGGGAAGCUUCAGAGUCUCCUGAAGAGGCCGAAGAGUUUGAAAGAAGGAUUUUGUUGUCUUCUCCCUUCUUCCUCCUCUCUCUCCUCUCCCCCUUCCCCCUCUCCCAUCAGGCCAACAGCUCAAUAACACAGUUAAUAGAUGUGCAAGAAGUAAGUGGGCUGUGGAGGACCGACAAUCAGUUUGGCUGUGUUCUCCCCUAACCAACAAGGCCAUUUCCAGAUGGCAUUUUAGCAUUGUUUCCUUCCCGCACAGCAGCGGUUCUCAACAUGUGGGUCGCAACGCCCACAAGGGUUGCAUAUCAGAUAUUUACACUGCAACUCAUAACAGUAGCAAAAUUACAGUUAUGAAGUGGCAAUGAAAUCAUGUUAUGGUUGGGGGUCACCACAACAUAAGGAACUGUAUUAAAGGCCGCAGCAUUAGAAAGAUUGAAAACUAUUUCUGUAGAGAUGCCAAGACUGAAGAAAACCUUCUUUAUUGAAGUUCAGAGUUGUUGGGAUCUGUGUUAAUAUAAGUAUAGACUGUGCAUUGUACACAAAUUUGUCAAAGAUGAUUUUUUUGUUUUAUGCUUGAGUAGGUAAAAUAUACCUUAUGUGCUUGGUAGUUUUCCUAGUUUUAUUUCUUUAUGUCUAUAGCCAAGAUUUUCAGGGCAUCUUCCCCGAUCAAACCCGAUCCAUAUUAACCUGAUCCAUAUAACCUCUCCCCCAAAGUAACAUAGUUUUUUACUUCCAUUUUGAAGUCAAGACAUUUUUAAAAUAUAUAGGUUAGUUUAAUCCGGCAGUUUUCAUAAUCCAAUGUGUCUUAGCAGCUGUUGUUCCUCCAUUAACAAUCAGAAAAUCUAAAGAUAACAUAAUAACAUGUGGGAUCCAGACUCUGUGCAUUUCCAAUCUUUAUGUGGCUUAUUAUUUAAUUUUACUUUACUCCUUUUUUAAAGAACUUUAUUAUUUUUAAAUUAUUUUUUAAUCUAUGACUGUAUGUAUCCUUUCUCUUUUUUUCUACCAAACCUAUGCACAUCUUUAAACACA
rnacentral:lncRNA from 1 species